rnacentral:rRNA from 1 species
AUUGAACGCUGGCGGCAGGCCUAACACAUGCCAGUCGAACGGUAACAGAAAGCAGCUUGCUGCUUUGCUGACGAGUGGCGGACGGGUGAGUAAUGUCUGGGAAACUGCCUGAUGGAGGGGGAUAACUACUGGAAACGGUAGCUAUUACCGCAUAACGUCGCAAGACCAAAGAGGGGGACUUUCGGGCCCCUUGCCAUCGGAUGUGCCCAGAUGGGAUUAGCUAGUAGGUGGGGUAACGGCUCACCUAGGCGACGAUCCCUAGCUGGUCUGAGAGGAUGACCAGCCACACUGGAACUGAGACACGGUCCAGACUCCUGCGGGAGGCAGCAGUGGGGAAUAUUGCACAAUGGGCGCAAGACUGAAGCAGCCAUGCCGAGUGUAUGAAGAAGGCCUUCGGGUUGUAAAGUACUUUCAGCGGGGAGGAAGGGAGUAAAGUUAAUACCUUUGCUCAUUGACGUUAUCCGCAGAAGAAGCACCGGCUAACUCCGUG